rnacentral:rRNA from 1 species
GCGAUCAUACCAGCACAAAUUCAUCGGAUCCCACCAGAACUCCGAAGUUAAGCGUGCUUGGGCGAGAGUAGUACUAGGAUGGGUGACCCCCUGGGAAGUCCUCGUGUUGCACCU